GCGCGGAGUCCGCGCACCA
rnacentral:tRNA from 1 species